UACGAAGGGGGCAAGCGUUGCCCGGAAUCACUGGGCGUAAAGCGCACGUAGGCGGCUUUUUAAGUCAGCGGUGAAAUCCUGGAGCUCAACUCCAGAACUGCCUUUGAUACUGGAGAGCUUGAGUCCGGGAGAGGUGAGUGGAACUGCGAGUGUAGAGGUGAAAUUCGUAGAUAUUCGCAAGAACACCAGUGGCGAAGGCGGCUCACUGGCCCGGUACUGACGCUGAGGGGCGAAAGCGUGGGGAGCAAACAGG
rnacentral:rRNA from 1 species